UACGAGGGGGAGCUAGCGUUGUUCGGAAUUACUGGGCGUAAAGAGCUCGUAGGCGGCUUGGACAAGUCGGAUGUGAAAAACUCCAGGCUCAACCUGGAGACGCCAUCCGAUACUGCUAUGGCUAGAGUCCGGUAGGGGACCACGGAAUACCUGGUGUAGCGGUGAAAUGCGCAGAUAUCAGGUGGAACACCGGUGGCGAAGGCGGAUGGUCUGGGCCGAACUGCGCUGAGGAGCGAAAGCGUGGGGAGCGAACAGG
rnacentral:rRNA from 1 species